rnacentral:rRNA from 1 species
GACGAACGCUGGCGGCGUGCCUGACACAUGCAAGUCGGACGGUUCUUGCACCUUCAAGCUUGCUUGCUGGUGCAGGGAUAGUGGCGGACGGGUGAGUAACGCGUGAACAUCUACCCAUUGGAGGGGGACAACCCGUCGAAAGGCGGGCUAAUACCGCGUAAGCCGCGAGGUGAGAGGCUGCCUAUUGGUGGCCGCCGAUGGAUGGGUUCGCGUCCUAUCAGCUGGUUGGUGGGUAACGGCCUACCAAGGCGAAGACGGGUAGCCGGUCUGAGAGGAUGGCCGGCCACACUGGAACUGAGACACGGUCCAGACUCCUACGGGAGGCAGCAGUGGGGAAUAUUGGGCAAUGGGGGAGACCCUGACCCAGCGACGCCGCGUGAGGGACGAAGGUUUUCGGAUCGUAAACCUCUGUUGUACGGGAAGAAGGAAUUGACGGUACCGUACGAGUAAGCCCCGGCAAACUACGUG